rnacentral:rRNA from 1 species
GUGGGGAAUAUUGGACAAUGGGCGAAAGCCUGAUCCAGCCAUGCCGCGUGUGUGAAGAAGGUCUUCGGAUUGUAAAGCACUUUAAGUUGGGAGGAAGGGCAGUAAGUUAAUACCUUGCUGUUUUGACGUUACCGACAGAAUAAGCACCGGCUAACUUCGUGCCAGCAGCCGCGGUAAUACGAAGGGUGCAAGCGUUAAUCGGAAUUACUGGGCGUAAAGCGCGCGUAGGUGGUUUUGUAAGUUGGAGGUGAAAUCCCCGGGCUCAACCUGGGAACUGCCUCCAAAACUGCAUGACUAGAGUGCGGUAGAGGGUAGUGGAAUUUCCUGUGUAGCGGUGAAAUGCGUAGAUAUAGGAAGGAACACCAGUGGCGAAGGCGACUACCUGGACUGAUACUGACACUGAGGUGCGAAAGCGUGGGGAGCAAACAGGAUUAGAAACCCUAGUAGUCC